GUCUAUGUAGUAUACAUAUUACAUCGGUCUUGUAAACCGAAAAAGGGGAGGCAAAUUUCCCCCAAAGACU
rnacentral:tRNA from 1 species